ACGCCUGAUACUAGGCUCUUACCAUCAGAGUUGAUAGAAAGAAUAUUUCUGUAUCGAAGGAAUUGAUUUUCCCGCAAUACUAAAAUCUUUUUACUUUUGGUGAGCAAAGUUUCAGGUGUGC
rnacentral:pre_miRNA from 1 species